ensembl:lncRNA
GAUGGCAUCUUGGUUAACUUCUGCACUAUGUACAACAGGAGCAACAAUCCUGCCACACCUCAUGAUCUUAGCAGUCCUGCAGUUCACCCCUCUGGGUCAUCAGAGGGAUGUGUAUUCCUCAACCUCCAACCUGUCCCCCAAAGUCAGAAUGAGGAAGUCAAACUUGAUAGCAUGACGGUUUACUCUCCUCCGAAAGAGGAGGUUGACAUGCCGCUUUCUGCUUCCCGCCUGUCCCCUCGGGGCCUUGACUCUAACUGCAAUCUGUACUCACUAGAGGAGCUACCUGCAGGGCUCUCCUCUCUAGAGUCACCCAGCCCGGCCUGGUCCAGUGUCACCAGCUGCCCCGAAGGUCAGAGCAGAGGCAGCCCCUUCCUUCUCAGUUUUGAUCAGAAGAAAGAAGGGCAGCAGAAUGGAAUUAAGAAGGAGAAAGAGGACCAGCAAAAGGAGACGGGUGUUCAGUUUGACUGUUCUCACUUUCAGAUCCAAGAUUACCAGGUUGCAACCACCUCCACUGACAAAGCCCUCUGCCGAAAGAAACAGGCAGAUAGCAUCCAGAACCUCUCCCACACGCCUUGCUCGCUGUGCCCCAGCCAGUGUGGCCCACAUAGCAGUAAAUGCCAAGACGCAAGAGUGGCAACCACACAGCCAUCUGUGAUGCAGGACCAGGAGCACAACAAUCCCUGUGAUACUGAGAAGGGACCAAGUCCAGAUGUGGUGCGCUACAGUAAAGCCCAGAGGCCAACCUCGCUGCCCAUCCAGCCCUUUGUUCUGGCUCCUGCAGGAAAGCUGCAGCCCCCGUCCCAGCCCCUCGGCUGCCUUCUAGAGCAGUAUCUAAAUAAAAAGAGCAGUAAGACUGAUAACACGCAGCCGGCCUUCAGUUUCAAAGGCAAAAGCAGCCAAAGUUUUUCUGAUUUUCACCCAUCACCGACGGACAACCACUGCUCCAUCUUCCUAGAGGCUCCGUCUAGCUCUGAUACCUGCUCCACCUGCACACCAAGCCCAGAGUGCUUCAUCCGCACACGUUCAUGGAAUCAGUUGGGCGAAAGCCAAGACUGCACCGGUCCGUGCACAUCAAACAGCAGCCUGGAUUCACAUCAUACUAGUUGUCCCACAGAGGCUCAAGAGCAAGAAAAAGCAGGCCCACACUCAGGCAGAACUCAGGCUAACACUUUGCUCAGUCUUGUCUCGGCUCCAAAUCGAUCCAGUCUCGUUAGGAUUCCCACCUACCAGGACUUGAUCAGUCUCACCUCUGAGCAAAGCCAAGUGCGCGCCAAGCCUAAAAGUGCUAAUCAUUCCUUUAACACCACCUACCGUUCAAUAUUCUCUCAAACACCACCCACUUUAACCAUCACCACUGACACCCACCACCCAAACUCGCAGGUGUCUGUUUCUCCUCCCAAAACCUCGCUGCCACAGGUAAAGCUCCCACAGUGUGGAGCCGCACCUGCAGCUGACUCGGGCUUUUUUCACUCUAGUUUCACAGCUGCCCUCUCCUCAGUGGCUCCUCUCUCCUCUCUGAGUUCUCUCUUCUCCUUGGCCGCUUCAAGGCUGCAAAUCCAGGACUCUGCUGGACACAGUUCGAAGCCAAAUCAGAGUCAUCACAGUGAGUCUCUGAUCCUGAGCGACAGGCCGCCCACAGAGUUCAACCUCUCACCC